rnacentral:tRNA from 2 species
UCCGGGGUAGCUCAACGGUAGAGCAAUCGGCUGUUAACCGAUUGGUUGGGGGUUCGAAUCCCUCCCCCGGAG